GACGAACCGUGCGAACGUUGUUCGGAAUCAUUGGGCUUAAAGGGCGCGUAGGCGGGCGAUCAAGUCCGGGGUGAAAUCCUCCAGCUCAACUGGAGAACUGCCUCGGAUACUGGUCGUCUCGAGGGAGGUAGGGGCAUGUGGAACUCAGGGUGUAGCGGUGAAAUGCGCAGAUAUCAGGAGGAACACCGGUGGCGAAGGCGGUUCUCGUGGGCAUUACCUGACGCUGAGGAGCGAAAGUGUGGGGAGCGAACAGG
rnacentral:rRNA from 1 species